UAGUCCACGCCGUAAACGAUGGUCACUAGGUGUUUGACGGAUUAACCCGUUGAGUACCAAAGCCCACGCAUUAAGUGACCCGCCUGGGGAGUACGGUCGCAAGGCUAAAACUCAAAGGAAUUGACGGGGGCCCGCACAAGCGGUGGAGUAUGUGGUUUAAUUCGAAGCAACGCGAAGAACCUUACCUGGCCUUGACAUCCCGUGACCGCUACAGAGAUGUAGUUUUCUCUUCGGAGACGCGGAGACAGGUGCUGCAUGGCUGUCGUCAGCUCGUGUUGUGAAAUGUUCGGUUAAGUCCGGCAACGAGCGCAACCCCUGUCCUUAGUUACCAUCAUUAAGUUGGGGACUCUAGGGAGACUGCCGGUGUUAAGCCGGAGGAAGGCGGGGAUGACGUCAAGUCCGCAUGGCCCUUACGGGCCAGGGGCUACACACGUACUACAAUGGUAGGAACAAGCUGCUGCAAGACCGCGAGGGUUUAGCCAAUCAGUAAAACACUAUCUCAGUCCGGGAUUGGGAGUCUGCAACUCGACUUCA
rnacentral:rRNA from 1 species